rnacentral:pre_miRNA from 1 species
GAGGUACUCCCUCCGUUCGGAAUUACUUGUCAUAAAAAUGGAUGUAUCUAUAACUAAAAUACAUCUAGAUACAUUCAUUUCUUGGACGAGUAAUUCCGAACAGAGGGAGUAGCAU